CUCCCCUCCCAGAUUCCUGCUCCCGAGAUCCGGGAGAGGGACUGGGAAGAGGGCCUGGAGGUCUCUCCAGAGGAGCUCACCAUGGUCAGGAAGAAACUUGGGGGCAAGGGCAAAGCAAACCUGUAGGCCUAUUCUGUAACUUCCUAACGACAAUGUCACUAGCAAGAUUUGUCGUUACGCAAAGUUAGCAACAGUAUAAUGGAAAUGAGUAUUUUGUAACUCAGUGUAACGAAAAAUGUCGUCAAAAUUGUCGACAAAAUGUCGAAUUAUAUCGCUAAGUUAUCAAGGGGUAUGAGACCCCUCGAUAAACGUUGUCGACUGGUAACGAGAAGAGCUAUGCUAGUAAAGUAUAGUGGUUUUACAUGAGUUUAGACUCCUGUCCCUCGGGAAAAUGAAAGGAAGAAAAGUAAAACUUGUCAUUUGCAAAUAAAUAGAAUUUAUCAACAAUUUUUUACACUGCCAAAAAAGAUAUAUUACAUAUACCAUAUAAUAUGACUGAAGGAUAUUUAGCAUGGGAAUUGCUUGUCCUGCAGGAACGAGUGAGACGAAUUGAAAGACGAAUGGAGAGACGAUUAUUGCGAGAUGAUCAAAAUCGAUUCACACUUCCUCACGAUGAAUUUCUGGCACAUUUUAGAGUUAGUCAACAACUGCUUAUGGAUGAUGUAAAAGUUUUGAGACCACACUUACAGAAGCAACGCAUUACCGGCUUAUCUCCAGAACUGCAAGUUUUAGUUGCAGUUAACUUUUACGCAAAUGGCAGCUAUCAAAAACCUGUUGGAAACCAGUGUGAGCUACUUAUUAGCCAACCGCCUACUAACCGUUGUAUACGCACAGCAACGUACUUAAUAAAUCAACAUCUAAGGUUUGUUCGCGUCGCAUGCUCCAAUGUACACCAGGGAGCAUUUGGAUCACGGAUAAGAUGGUGGUUGGAGCAGAUGAGUUCAUGUGCACCAAUGCUCAGUGAUACGAACGGAUUGGAGCAGUUUCUCCUCUUUUAAGAUGCAUGCAAACAUGCAAAUUAAACUCGCAGCAUGGAUCCAUUGGAAGAUUUUCUCAUUGGCUUUAAUAUAUUAAUUAUGAAUGAAAUUAAUGAAAAUCUUUUACCUUUAGCUGUAAUCCGUGAUUUAUUUGUGAAAGACAAUGGGAACGACGAUGAAAUAGAGAAAGCAUGGUGGACAGAUUUAGUUAUUGGGCACAUUUUAGAAAUCUAGGAGGACAUGGAGGAUUUGAAGUAGUUUCGGCUGAAAAACACAUUCUUACUUUUCUAUAGUUUGCUGGGCAUCAAAGUACAAGUUUCAGGGAUGUUGAUGAUAGAUUUAAUUUGUCUCUUAGUGCCUUUGAAUCAGUGUUACAAAGAGUCACACAGUUUUUAUAUGAUUUAAGAAAUGAAUUUAUUCGGUAUGAACCCACUGAGGCAGAAAAGCAGAGAGCGCAGAGAUACUAUGUAGAAAAUAAAAAUUUUCCAGGAAUAAUUGGUUCUAUUGAUGGUUCACACAUCCGUAUAGACAAACCUUCUGAAGACCCAGUAGCCUAUAUCAAUAGAAAACAUUAUUUUUCCAUUCACAUGCAGGGAACAGUUAAUGAGCAGAACAAGUUCUUAGAUGUGUUAAUUGGAUAUCCUGGCUCAGUGCAUGAUGCAAGAGUAUUUGCAAAUUCUAGUCUGGCUG